UCCUAAUCUCUAACCUAAAUACAUCUCCUCUACCUCUUUUCUUCCGACUCACUCUCAUCACCUCAUGACCAAUCUUUAUAAUUAUCAUUUCCCUCCUCUCUCCAAUUUCUCUCUUCUUCUCCGGUCGUCAUCCAAUUUCUUUCUCAUCUCUUCAAGAUAUAAAAGUUCACACCAUUUGUCUGAAACUGAAACCAAUCUAAUCAAACCAAUUUCAAUCCCUUCAAGUCAUUUUUUACGUCUCUUUUAGACCAAUUCCAACAAGUUCCGAAUCAGAAUUGACCUCUUCCUCAUUACAACGGCGCUGCGCCUCCGCUGCCACCACGACAAGUACCUCUUAGCCGAAGAAGACGAAGAGUCCAUCACCCAAGACCGCAACGGACCUUCCAAUACGGCGUCACCCAAGACCGCAAUUACCCUUCACCGACCUUCAAUGGGCUUGCGCUGAUCAGCGUCAGUUAAACCACUCUGAAAGCUGAAACCGAACUAGACGUUUGUUAAACCAACUAAGUCAGUUCCGAGAAUAUAUGAACUUUUCAGUGUUGCAAAUCUGGAAAACCGCUGUGGCGGUUCAGUCAUCGGUUCUGGGCCAAAAACCGCCCCAACAGCUCUGAAUCCAGCCCUACUGUACACCAUAUCGAACUCAAUGUACAAUGAGAAUGCAAUAGGUUCGGCACUUUCAAAUUCAAGGGAAAUCAUAAGUGCUUCUUCUUCAUCAUCUUGACCAAGCAUCAGAGCAUAUUUAGCAUUUGAUCAAAUGGAUAGUGGUCUGUUACUCAGAAACUAGUAAACUCUACUCUGCUGUGAAGAUGAUGCAGACACCAUUGGAACAGUAAAGAAAAUGAUGCAAAAAUAUCAAGCUUGAAGCUCCUGUGACCCAACAAGUAAAUCUUACAUUGUCAUAAUUAUGUCUAUGUUCUCACUUUUCCCUUUACUAAUAACCCCACUUCAUUUGGCAGAUUAUAUAAGUUCUUGCUAAGAUGGCAAGGAAGACAUUGACUUCCCUAUCAACUUUGCUUAUAAGAUUGCUAAUUAAUCUAAGCAGAACCUGAGAAAAGCAAUCAUAGGUCCUGAAGCAACCAGAGCACACAAGAACUCAGUGAAAAAACAGUGUCAAGAAAUUUGACUUCAUUGUAUAUUCACUUACCUACUACCUAGGCUUGAACUACCCAUGCAGCUAUCCUUUGGUAGAUGACCAAGCAAUUCCAAUCAUAUGAGAAGAGAUACUAGGGAAGUUGCUGCAGAAAUCCUAGCUGGCCCAUCACCAAAACGCCAGGGAAAGUUUCAAAGGCUUCUUGUGUACAUCCAAAACUGAUUUUACUGAAGGUGGUAGAACAGUUCCUUAAAGAAAUGGAUGGUAGUAAAAGGGACCUAUAUUACUGGCAUGCUUACAAUGGGAGUUAUCUCCCUCAUACCUUAUUUUGCCUGGGUAAGAAGGUGAACCUAACUUAAACUUGUCCGUACAGGAGAAAAGACUCCCAGCAGGAGCAAGUGCUUUACUGAAACUAGAAGAGUUUGUGGCCAAGUUCAUGAGCAUAUACCAGAAGAGUGCCAACAGUUGUCAGUGUGUUUAGUGUAUACAGCCUCACUGAGAGGCAAUACUUGAGAAUUUCCUACCACAGGUCCUUCUCAAGAUUGUCUAGCUGCAGCUGAUAGAGGAAGUCAGACUUAUAGACAAAUUCCCCUGAAGCUAUUUCCUAGGGUCAGAAUGAUUCAGAUAUAGCCCAAAAACACACAAUGUCUUGUU